ensembl:lncRNA
GGCACAACUCGUAUAUAAAAUAAUUUUCCUCAAAGUUGUCGGUAUGCCUCGUGUGUACUUAUAUUGGUACUUUUGUAACAACCGAAACAUCACAAAACUUAUAUUCAAUCAUAUAAUAAAUAAGCCAUUCAAUUGUUUGUUGACCAAAUUCGACACUCUCAUUGACCUCCAUACAAAAAUUCCUCACUUGGUGGGUGAACAUUUUUUAGGCCGAGUUACCCGUCUUCCUUCGCCUUCUACUCUCUUGCUCAGCUCAGUCACGAAGAGGAAGAACUUUGCAGCAGGUAAUUCCCAAACAAGGGAUGGUGGAAAAACAGAGUUACAGUGAAAACGGAUGAACCUGACAGAAUGCCACCAGCCAAACCCACGGAAGGCAUGUCCUGCUGUGUGAUAUUCAACAGUGAGGGUCACUGGAGCCCUCAGAGACCAGAGACUGGGCCGUUCACC